UGGGGAAUUUUGGACAAUGGGCGAAAGCCUGAUCCAGCAAUGCCGCGUGUGUGAAGAAGGCCUUCGGGUUGUAAAGCACUUUUGUCCGGAAAGAAAUCCUUGGCUCUAAUACAGUCGGGGGAUGACGGUACCGGAAGAAUAAGCACCGGCUAACUACGUGCCAGCAGCCGCGGUAAUACGUAGGGUGCAAGCGUUAAUCGGAAUUACUGGGCGUAAAGCGUGCGCAGGCGGUUUGCUAAGACCGAUGUGAAAUCCCCGGGCUCAACCUGGGAACUGCAUUGGUGACUGGCAGGCUAGAGUAUGGCAGAGGGGGGUAGAAUUCCACGUGUAGCAGUGAAAUGCGUAGAGAUGUGGAGGAAUACCGAUGGCGAAGGCAGCCCCCUGGGCCAAUACUGACGCUCAUGCACGAAAGCGUGGGGAGCAAACAGGAUUAGAUACCCUGGUAGUCCACGCCCUAAAACGAUGUCACUAAGUUGUUGGGGAUUCAUUUCCUUAGUAACGUAGCUAACGCGUGAAGUUGACCGCCUGGGGAGUACGGUCGCAAGAUUAAAACUUAAAUGGAAUUGACGGGGUCAUAGCUGUUUCCU
rnacentral:rRNA from 1 species